rnacentral:rRNA from 1 species
AGAGUUUGAUCAUGGCUCAGAUUGAACGCUGGCGGCAGGCCUAACACAUGCAAGUCGAGCGGUAGCACAGGAGAGCUUGCUCUCUGGGUGACGAGCGGCGGACGGGUGAGUAAUGUCUGGGAAACUGCCUGAUGGAGGGGGAUAACUACUGGAAACGGUAGCUAAUACCGCAUAACGUCUUCGGACCAAAGUGGGGGACCUUCGGGCCUCACGCCAUCAGAUGUGCCCAGAUGGGAUUAGCUAGUAGGUGGGGUAAUGGCUCACCUAGGCGACGAUCCCUAGCUGGUCUGAGAGGAUGACCAGCCACACUGGAACUGAGACACGGUCCAGACUCCUACGGGAGGCAGCAGUGGGGAAUAUUGCACAAUGGGCGCAAGCCUGAUGCAGCCAUGCCGCGUGUGUGAAGAAGGCCUUCGGGUUGUAAAGCACUUUCAGCGAGGAGGAAGGGUAGUGUGUUAAUAGCACAUUGCAUUGACGUUACUCGCAGAAGAAGCACCGGCUAACUCCGUGCCAGCAGCCGCGGUAAUACGGAGGGUGCAAGCGUUAAUCGGAAUUACUGGGCGUAAAGCGCACGCAGGCGGUUUGUUAAGUCAGAUGUGAAAUCCCCGCGCUUAACGUGGGAAUUGCAUUUGAAACUGGCAAGCUAGAGUCUUGUAGAGGGGGGUAGAAUUCCAGGUGUAGCGGUGAAAUGCGUAGAGAUCUGGAGGAAUACCGGUGGCGAAGGCGGCCCCCUGGACAAAGACUGACGCUCAGGUGCGAAAGCGUGGGGAGCAAACAGGAUUAGAUACCCCGGUAGU